UUUCCGUAGGUGAACCUGCGGAAGGAUCAUUCAAAAUGAGCAGUGCCGGGUUUUUUCGGAUUCUCGGCGCUGGUUCUAUAUUUUUCGCGUACCUUUUGAAACAAAUCUUUUAACAAUGUAAAACCAAACAAUAUUAUUAACAAAAACUAUUACAACUCGUGACGGUGGAUGUCUAGGCUCCAACAACGAUGAARAACGCAGCGAAAUGCGAUACGUAGUACGAAUUGCARAACCCGUGAAUCAUCAAAUUUUUGAACGCAAGUUGCGCUCGCGGGCAAUCCUGCGAGCAUGUCUGUUUGAGUGUCCGCUAAAAUGUUUAGUUCCUUUUGAACGGCUGGCAACGGCCUGUUUGGGGAGCUGCUGGUGGGUGCACGAAUGUGUAAAGUCCGGGUCACUUGCAAGUUUCGGCUUGUCAGGAGGUGUCGGUCACCCGAAGUARAGAGCGCUGGUCGACGAUUGGUUUUGCUGUGACAUUCUGGGUUGAUUCCUGGUGAGUUGCUCGCGCGCGCUGUGAAGUAAUUUAUUACCGGAAGCAGGGUUCGAUCGGGUGUACUAGGAUGAGACUUGUUGCACUAAGCUAAUUGUUGUUUUGGCCUUGAUAAAAAACACAACAAUACAUUUGGAUCUCAAAUCAGACAAGACGACCCGCUGAAUUUAAG
rnacentral:rRNA from 1 species